AGUGAACGCUGGCGGUAGGCCUAACACAUGCAAGUCGAACGGCAGCACAGUAAGAGCUUGCUCUUACGGGUGGCGAGUGGCGGACGGGUGAGGAAUACAUCGGAAUCUACUUUUUCGUGGGGGAUAACGUAGGGAAGCUUACGCAAAUACCGCAUACGACCUACGGGUGAAAGCAGGGGAUCUUCGGACCUUGCGCGAUUGAAUGAGCCGAUGUCGGAUUAGCUAGUUGGCGGGGUAAAGGCCCACCAAGGCGACGAUCCGUAGCUGGUCUGAGAGGAUGAUCAGCCACACUGGAAGUGAGACACGGCCCAGACUCCUACGGGAGGCAGCAGUGGGGAAUAUUGGACAAUGGGCGCAAGCCUGAUCCAGCCAUACCGCGUGGGUGAAGAAGGCCUUCGGGUUGUAAAGCCCUUUUGUUGGGAAAGAAAAGCAGCAGGUUAAUACCCCGCUGUUCUGACGGUACCCAAAGAAUAAGCACCGGCUAACUUCGUG
rnacentral:rRNA from 1 species